GGUUAAGCGACUAAGCGUACACGGUGGAUGCCCUGGCAGUCAGAGGCGAUGAAGGACGUGCUAAUCUGCGAUAAGCGUCGGUAAGGUGAUAUGAACCGUUAUAACCGGCGAUUUCCGAAUGGGGAAACCCAGUGUGUUUCGACACACUAUCAUUAACUGAAUCCAUAGGUUAAUGAGGCGAACCGGGAGAACUGAAACAUCUAAGUACCCCGAGGAAAAGAAAUCAACCGAGAUUCCCCCAGUAGCGGCGAGCGAACGGGGAGCAGCCCAGAGCCUGAAUCAGUGUGUGUGUUAGUGGAAGCGUCUGGAAAGGCGCGCGAUACAGGGUGACAGCCCCGUAC
rnacentral:rRNA from 1 species